GACGAACGCUGGCGGCGUGCCUAACACAUGCAAGUCGAACGGAGUCGGCCCCGCAAGGGACUGACUUAGUGGCGAACGGGUGAGUAACGCGUGAGCAACCUGCCUUUCAGUGGGGGACAACAGUUGGAAACGACUGCUAAUACCGCAUAAUGCAUUUUGACCGCAUGAUCGAGAUGCCAAAGAUUUAUUGCUGAAAGAUGGGCUCGCGUCUGAUUAGAUAGUUGGUGGGGUAACGGCCCACCAAGUCGACGAUCAGUAGCCGGACUGAGAGGUUGAACGGCCACAUUGGGACUGAGAUACGGCCCAGACUCCUACGGGAGGAAGCAGUGGGGAAUAUUGGGCAAUGGGGGAAACCCUGACCCAGCAACGCCGCGUGAAGGAAGAAGGCUUUCGGGUUGUAAACCUCUUUUACCAGGGACGAAGAAAGUGACGGUACCGGGAGAAAAAGCCACGGCUAACUACGUGCCAGCCGCCGCCGUAA
rnacentral:rRNA from 1 species